UGAGGAAUAUUGGUCAAUGGACGCAAGUCUGAACCAGCCACGUCGCGUGAAGGAAGACGGCCCUAUGGGUUGUAACUUCUUUUGUAAGGGAAUAAAAGGAGUCACGAGUGACUUAUUGCAUGUACCUUACGAAUAAGGAUCGGCUAACUCCGUGCCAGCAGCCGCGGUAAUACGGAGGAUCCGAGCGUUAUCCGGAUUUAUUGGGUUUAAAGGGUGCGCAGGCGGGAGAUUAAGUCGGCGGUGAAAUUUUGCAGCUUAACUGUAAAAGUGCCAUCGAUACUGGUUUUCUUGAGUGUGGAUGAAGUAGGCGGAAUUUGUGGUGUAGCGGUGAAAUGCAUAGAUAUCACAAGGAACACCGAUUGCGCAGGCAGCUUACUAAACCAUAACUGACGCUCAGGUACGAAGGCGUGGGGAUCAAACAG
rnacentral:rRNA from 1 species